CCUUCGAUAGCUCAGUUGGUAGAUGCGGUGGACUGCAUAGAAGUUGUGAUGGUUAUCCAUAGGUCGCUGGUUCGAAUCCGGCUCGAAGGA
rnacentral:tRNA from 1 species